rnacentral:rRNA from 1 species
AACGAACGCUGGCGGCAGGCUUAACACAUGCAAGUCGAGCGCCCCGCAAGGGGAGCGGCAGACGGGUGAGUAACGCGUGGGAAUCUACCCAUCUCUACGGAAUAACGCAUGGAAGCGUGUGCUAAUACCGUAUACGUCCUUCGGGAGAAAGAUUUAUCGGAGAUGGAUGAGCCCGCGUUGGAUUAGCUAGUUGGUGGGGUAAAGGCCUACCAAGGCGACGAUCCAUAGCUGGUCUGAGAGGAUGAGCAGCCACACUGGGACUGAGACACGGCCCAGACCCCUACGGGAGGCAGCAGUGCGGAAUAUUGGACAAUGGGCGCAAGCCUGAUCCAGCCAUGCCGCGUGAGUGAGGAAGGCCCUAGGGUUGUAAGCUCUUUCACCGGUGAAGAUAAUGACGGUAACCGGAGAAGAAGCCCCGGCUAACUUUGUGCCAGCCGCCGCCGUAACAC